GACGAACGCUGGCGGCGUGCUUAACACAUGCAAGUCGAACGGAAAGGCCCUGCGUUUGUGGGGUUCUCGAGUGGCGAACGGGUGAGUAACACGUGAGUAACCUGCCCUUGACUUUGGGAUAACUUCAGGAAACUGGGGCUAAUACCGGAGAGGAGCUCCUGCUGCAUGGUGGGGGUUGGAAAGUUUCGGCGUUGGGGGAUGGACUCGCGGGUUAUCAGCUUGUUGGUGGGGUAGUUGCUGACCAAGGCUUUGACGGGUAGCCUGCCUGAGAGCGUGACCGGCCACAUUGGGACUGAGAUACGGACCAGACUCCUACGGGAGGCAGCAGUGGGGAAUCUUGCACAAUGGCCGGAAGCCUGAUGUAGCAACGCCGCGUGCGGGAUGCUGGCCUUCGGGUUGUAAACAGCUUUCGAAUGUGACGAAGCGUGCGUGACGGUACUGGGUCAAGAAGCCCCGGCUAACUACGUG
rnacentral:rRNA from 1 species